CACCAUUUGUAACAAUACUUGGAAAAUAAUCCAGGUUCCUGGUUUGAAAGUGUUAUUCUUGUUUCAUGGUGCAAUGCUUACUUCGAAAGGAGUGCUUCUACUCCGGAAACUUUGUUGUGAGAUUGCAAAACUAAAGCCAGAUGUGCUUGAGCAUAAUGUCCCCUUGAAACAAAAUAUAAUAAACUUUUCCCCAUGUUUUUGUGACAGAAUCCAUUCAGAAAUGGCAUUUAUAACCCAUUUAUAACCCGAUGUGUUCCAGAGUGUAAUAUAUUGUAAUAAUAAUAAUAAUAUUAUAUAAUGUUAUCCUUGCCCCAAGGAGAAGGAGAAGACGAGAAGAAGAUGAAAGAGGUGAAGGAGAUGAAGUGUUUGACUCUGAGAAGAAGGGAAAAAAGAAGGAAAGGAAAGAGAAGGAGAAGAAAUGUUUGACCCAAAGGAAAAGGAGAAGAAGGUGAAGAAGGAGAAAGAGAGGAAGAGGAGACAAAGUGUUUGACCCUGAGAAGGAGGAAAGGAAGGAGAAGUGUUUGACCCCAAGAGGAAGGAGAAGAAAGAGGAAAGGAAGGAGAAGAAGAAGGGUUUGACCUCAAGAAGAAGGAGAAGGAGAAAAGGAAGGAGAAGGAGAAGAAGUGUUUGACCCCGAGAAGAAGGAGAAAAAAGGAAAGAGAAGGAGAAGAAAUGCUUGACCCAAAGGAAAACAAGAAGAAGGUGAAAAAGGAGAAAGAGAGGAAGAGAAGGAGAAAAAGUGUUUGACCCUGAGAAGGAGGAAAGGAAGGAGAAGUGUUUGACCCCAAGAGGAAGGAGAAGGAGUAGGAAAGGAAGGAGAAGGAGAAGAAGUGUUUGACCCUGAGAAGAAGGAGAAAAAAAAGGAAAGGAAAGAGAAGGUGAUGUUUGACCCAAAGAAAAUGGAGAAGAAGGUGAAGAAGGAGAAAGAAAGGAAGAGAAGGAGAAGAAAUCUUUGACCAAGAGCAGGAAAGGAAGGAGAAGAAGCGUUCGACCCCAAGAAGAAGGAGAUGAAGGAAGAAAGGAAGGAGAAGGAGAAGAAGUGUUUGACCACAAGAGGAAGGAGAAGAAAGAGGAAGAGAAGAAGGAGAGAAGAAGUGGGAGAAGGAGAAUUCGACCUCAAGAAGAAGGAGAAGAAGGAAAGGAGAAGAAGUGUUUGACCCCAAGAAGGAAAAGGAGGGAGAGGAGAAGGAGAAGUGCUUGACCUUGAAGGGAAUGCUUGACCACUAAGGAGGAGAAGGAGCGCUUAUAACAAAGGAGGAGAGGAAGUGCUUGACUGCCAAGAGGAACUCCUUGACCGCCAAGGAGGAGCAAAGGCAUUCUGGAAGGACAAGACCGUAAUGAUGCAGAUUUUGGGGGCAGCGGUCUCUUUGGGGACGAUGGCCUACAGCAGCUACUACUUUUACAACAACCCCCCUUUGUGAAAUGGGACGCCGUUCUCACCUGGCCGCAGCUCUUGACUUCAUCUGGAUUUUGAGCCGCUAACGGAAAUAAAACAAUUUUA